GCAUUGGUGGCCUAGUGAUUAGAGCGUCCGCCUCGGAUGCGGGAGGUCGCGGGUUCGGUCCCCGGUCGAAUCAUA